AAAAAAAAAAAGAUCCAAGCCCUCAACUCAAAAAGGCUUAAGCCCUUAACACAAAAACAGAGAACACUAGAGUCUUGAAUGAAAGCCCAGCCCAGAGAAGCCUAGGGCAGCAGAAGGAUCCGGGUAAGAGGACUCGACCCAACAACACCUCCAACCCGCAACAGGAACUCAAAUCAAAACAAUGCGAGGAACCUCAACUUGGAGUCAUAGAUCAACCCAGAAAGUGGUAGAAGGUGGCAGCGGUGGCUGUCUUUAGCAUCCAGUUCGUGCCUUACGGAUAACCCCUUCGAUUUUGGGUCCCAGCAAGAAGCUUCAACCAGACGCCUCUCCCUCUCCCUUAGCGACGGUGGAAGCACAGAGGCUCUCUACAACACACCUGCAAACUAACAGGACAACAUGCAGGCACUAUGAUAUUUCAACACAUAAACAAGCAGAUUGAUCGAGUGCUCUCUCUCUGAAGUGCAGAUCUGCCACAAGGGCAAGAAACCACAAAAAGUUAUCCACAUCCCACCUGAUGGUAGCAAUUAUGACUAGGUGUUAUAUACAGUUGAUAUAGAGAUUGGUAUUAUCCAUUGCUCUAUCCAAGUGUCCAUAACUAUGAUCUAGUGAAGAGAUGAUCUCAAGUAGUAUGUAAAGCCAGUCCUAUGGAAAAUAUUUCCUCAGUUCUUUGCCACCUGAAUCACUAAAACCACCCAUAUGCAACAAAGGAAGUCGGUCUACAUUAUCUCAACCACCCUCUGAAAAUGACAGGCUGAUCAUCUCCCUAUGUCAGUGACAGGCUGCAUUGUUAAGUGAUUAAUAUUGCAAAAAGUAACCAUUCCUCCGUUAUUUUAAAUCCAACUAUAACCAGGCUUCUUCCUUACUCCUCUAUCAAACAUUAGUUUCCGUACAUCUGCCGCAUUGUUCCAACACCCUCCUGUUUUCAACACAUUUGAUAGUAAUAUGUAUGUCGCAGGAUCAUUAGGCCACAACUCUAGAAGCAUUUUUGCAGUACGUGCAGCAAUUUCUCUAUUUCCAUGAACUAAACAAGCACUAAGCAGAGCUUUAUAAACCGAGGGCCCUGGAGCUAUUGGCAUGCUGUUAGUGACAGCUUCAGCUUCAUUUAGACACCCAGCCCGGCCAAAAAUAUCAACAACGCUAGCAUAAUGCUCUACUCUAUGAGAUUCAAUUGAGAUAUGACUUCUCAUCAAAUCAAAAUACUCAAGUCCCUGAUAAACAAAACCAGCAUGGCUGCAAGCAGAUAACACAGCAAGAAAGGUGGUGCUAUCAGGUUUGAUCUUGGUUUUUCUCAGCUGUUCAAACAAUUCUACAGUCUCCUCGCCAUAUCCAUGGUGAGCACAUCCUGUUAGAAGUGCAUUCCAAGAGAUCACAUCACGGUCCUCCAUCAACCAAAACACCCUCUUUGAAUCAUUGAGGGCACCACAUCUUGCAUACAUAGAAACAAGUCCAUUUUGAAUACACAAAUUUUGAUCAAACCCCAUCUUUACAAUAAGAGUAUGCAUUUUCCUUCCCUCUUCAAGGGCUGAAAUACCCCCUAUUGCUCCUAGCACACUUGUAAAUGUGUAGAAGUCCACAAUAAUGCCAGCCUGCCUCAUUUCAAAGAAACCAUGGAGAGCAUCCUUACCAUAUCCUAAAUUGGAUAAACCAGAAAUGAUUGCAUUCCAUGAUAUGUGGUCUUGUGAUGUAACACCUGACCGUAACUUCUUAAAAUCCUCAACAUUGUUGCUACACUUUGAGUACACGGUGAGAAGAGUUGCUGCUAUAUACACAUUCGACUCGAAACCAUGUCGAAUUAUACAACAGUGAACUUGCUUGCAAUAGUCCAGAUGUUUAGGACCAGAAAAUGAACUUAGCAGGCUGUUGUAAGUCACAUAAUUUGAUUUGAGUCCCAAACGCGUCAUUUCUCUGACCAACAUGAUAGCUUCAUCCGGGUAUCCAUUUUGUGCAUAUGCAGUAACCAAAGACGUCCAAGUAACAACAUUCUUAUCCGCCAUAUGAUCAAAAACCCGCUGAGAAUCGUUGACAUUGCCACACUUUGAGUACAUAUCAAUUAAAGCCGUCCCCACAACAACAUUGUAAGCAAACCCAGCUUUCACACUCAGCCCAUGAACCUGAACACCAAGUUCCCUUGCCUCCAAUUGCGAGCAACCCACAAGACAAGCUAAAACGCUAGAUGGUGUCACAACUCUCAUCACUCCUAACAUCUCGACAAACAAUUCAACAGCGAUUUGUGGGAAACCGACAUUCAGAUACCCAGAAAUCAACGAAUUCCAAGUAACUUCAUUUCGUUGAGGCAUUUCAUCGAACAUUUUUUUAGCAGAAUGAAUUUCGCCACACUUGGCAUACAUAUCAACAACAGCACUGGAUACAUAUACGUUUGAAGUAAAACUCAAUUUGAUAAUCGUACAAUGGACUUGAAUACCAAAAUCCUUAUAAGCGGAUUUGGCGCAAAAGGAGACGACUUUGUUGAGAUAAUAAGGAUUGGAAUAAGACCCAUGCCACUGCAGCUGAGCCACGAGGUCCAAAACAACCAGGUUUGGAGGCUUCUCAUAGUCGGUGAAGCUUUGGUAUCCAUUAGAGUAGUAAUCUGGUUCUGCGUCACCGGUAAAGUGGUGGUUGUGGGCCGUGAGAGCGAGGUAAAACAGCUGUUUGGCGGGCUUGGAAGGUCCGUGCAGGAUGAACCAUAGUUGAGAAGGAAAGAAAUACAAUGACAUUGCA
rnacentral:misc_RNA from 1 species